rnacentral:rRNA from 1 species
AGAGUUUUGGGAGUGCUCGCAAGAGAGCCGGAACACAGGUGCUGCAUGGCUUGUCGUCAGCUCGUGUCGUGAGAUGUUGGGUUAAGUCCCGCAACGAGCGCAACCCUUUAUCCCUAGUUGCCAUCAGGUAAAGCUGGGAACUCUGGGGAGACUGCCGGUGAUAAACCGGAGGAAGGCGGGGAUGACGUCAAGUCCUCAUGGCCCUUACAUCCCGGGCUACACACGUGCUACAAUGGCAGGUACAGAGGGCUGCGAAGCCGCGAGGUGGAGCGAAUCCCAGAAAACCUGUCUCAGUCCGGAUUGAAGUCUGCAACUCGACUUCAUGAAGGCGGAAUCGCUAGUAACCGCGAAUCAGCAGGUCGCGGUGAAUACGUUCCCGGGCCUU